AGGUUCCACCGAGAUUUGAACUCGGGUUACUGGAUUCAGAGUCCAAUGUCCUAACCACUAGACCAUGGAACC
rnacentral:tRNA from 2 species